rnacentral:rRNA from 1 species
UUAAUUGAAGAGUUUGAUCAUGGCUCAGAUUGAACGCUGGCGGCAGGCCUAACACAUGCAAGUCGAGCGGUAACAGAGAGUAGCUUUCUACUUUGCUGACGAGCGGCGGACGGGGGAGUAAUGCUUGGGAAGAUGCCUUG